rnacentral:rRNA from 1 species
AACGAACGCUGGCGGCGUGCUUAACACAUGCAAGUCGAACGCGAAAGUUUUCUUCGGAAGACGAGUAGAGUGGCGCACGGGUGAGUAACGCGUAAGUAAUCUACCCCGGCAUCAGGAAUAACCCACCGAAAGGUGUGCUAAUACCGGAUACGCUGGAGACAGGAAAGACGGCCUCUUCUUGAAAGCUGUCGUGCCGGGAUGAGCUUGCGUACCAUUAGCUGGUUGGUGGGGUAAUGGCCUACCAAGGCAACGAUGGUUAGCGGGUCUGAGAGGAUGAUCCGCCACACUGGAACUGGAACACGGACCAGACUCCUACGGGAGGCAGCAGUGAGGAAUAUUGCGCAAUGGGGGGAACCCUGACGCAGCGACGCCGCGUGGAUGAUGAAGGCCCUUGGGUCGUAAAAUCCUGUCAGAAGGGAAGAAAUGUAUAGUAGUUAAUAGCUAUUGUAUUUGACGGUACCUUCAAAGGAAGCACCGGCUAACUCCGUGCCAGCAGCCGCGGUAAUACGGAGGGUGCAAGCGUUGUUCGGAAUUACUGGGCGUAAAGGGCGCGCAGGUGGUUUUGUAAGUCAGAUGUGAAAGUCCAUGGCUCAACCAUGGAAGUGCAUUUGAAACUGUAAAACUUGAGUACUGGAGGGGGUAGUGGAAUUCCCGGUGUAGAGGUGAAAUUCGUAGAUAUCGGGAGGAAUACCGGUGGCGAAGGCGACUACCUGGCCAGAUACUGACACUGAGGCGCGAAAGCGUGGGGAGCAAACAGG